CUUCCCCACCAGCACAAAGGCAGCAGUCCCUCCUUCCCCUUGGUGCUGCCCUACUCCUUCUCCUCUCCCUGUUGAUGCUGAUGGCGCCCUUCCUCCUCUCCUCCCUUCUCCCAGCCAUGGCGCCCUCCCUUCCCAUCCUCACCUUGGAGAAAGCCCCCUCCUCUUGCAGCAAGCUAGGGCGCCCAUCUUCCCCUCCCUUUACUGCAGCAAGCAGCAACCCUGCUCUAGU
rnacentral:lncRNA from 1 species